GUUUCGUUGGUGCAGUGGUAGCAUGCCCUCUUAGGGUUUGGGGGUGGUCCUCGGUUCAAUCCCGGGACGAGACC
rnacentral:tRNA from 1 species